rnacentral:lncRNA from 12 species
AGCCAGUCUCUUGAUUUUCAUCUGUAAAGGGGUCUGGAUUGAAAGGAGCUUUGCACCAAAGUUCAAAAGGUCGCCCACUCACAUUUUUCCAGCCCACAGGCCGUUCCCUCCACAAACAACAUCGUCCUAUGUCACUGCAGCGCUUAUCUCUUGUGGCUGUAACAAUACCCCGAAGACAUCGCUUAGAUGGUUCAGGAGUUCACAUUUUUUAUUCAGUUCCUCCUUUGCCACCUGUGUGCUUUUUGGACCGGCUUCACAUUCCCCGGGCCGCGAGAAUGGGCUUGGCAGGACCAGUGCCUUCCUGAUUGGAAGCUAAGGUUCCAUGUGUGGUUGUUCUUAAUCUGCGUCUCUAAUCUGAGGGCCCCUGCCAUGCCCUGCAGGAGCCUGCUCCUGGUCCCCCGGGGCUGCAGCGACUUCCUGCCCCCACAGACCUCGGGUCCCCAGGCCCCCCACCGCUGCCCACCCCGCGCUCGCUUCCUUCUUCUCUGUCCCCGGAGCUUGAGCCUGAUGGACAAACCCUCGGAAUCGGACUCGUUAUGUAAGUCACUUCAAAUCCAUUUGUGGAUGAAGGUGAGUGUACCGUACAUAAGUGCAUAAACAUGAGUGGAGGGACGGGGGUAGUGACAUCUCCUUCAUGGAGUCUUCAGAACAGCAUAGAUUUUUCUUAUCCAGUUGAUCUUAGAGGCUGGCUCCUCUAUCUAUGAUUUCUGGCUCCUUGGGUUUUCACAUGUGGGUAUGGGUUUGCAGCAUUCUUGUUCUAUAAAGUCACAAACACUGAAUUGAGGAAUAUGAACCAUUGCUCCAGGGGAGAUACACAGGGUGAGGUUGUAGGACCUCUGGUCACAACAUUCUUAUCAACCAAUCAAUACACAUUCCUGUUUUGUGUGUUUCUGCUUAAAAACACCUGAUUUAGUAUAUAUUGCUGAUUCAUUUAUAUAGAAUUCAUGGCUAAUAGCAGCAGAACUCAUGCCUGAGCAAAGCUUAUCUAACAUAUAUGUUUUCUUUGUAGGGCGCAUCCCAACCUUCUUAUGCUUAAGAAUACCAGACAGCACUUCGGCAUUAUGCUUGGAGAUCAGGGGGAUCCCUGAGUGGCUCAGUGGUUUAGCGCCUGCCUUCCGCCCAGGAUGUGAUCCUGGAGUCCUGGGAUCGAGUCCCACAUCAUGGAGCAUGAAGCCUGCUUCUCCCUCUGCUUGUGUCUGUUUCUAUGUCUCUCUCUGUAUCUCUCAUGAAUAAAUAAAUAAAGUCUUAAAAAAAAAGAUUAAUG